rnacentral:tRNA from 1 species
GCGGAAGUGGUGGAAUCGGUAGACACGCCAUCUUGAGGGGGUGGUGCCGAAAGGUGUGGGGGUUCAAAUCCCCCCUUCCGCA